UCCUCUGUAGAUCAACGAGUAGAUCAACUGUCUGUUAAACAGUGGGUUGCUGGGGCGGAGCCAGCCAGAGGAGCCA
rnacentral:tRNA from 2 species